AUCGUGUAUUAACCGAGAAACUGCAGAUGGCUCAUUAGAUCAGUUAUGGUUCAUUGGAGCCAGUUCACGACCAUGGAUAACUGUGGUAAUUCUAGAGCUAAUACAUGCAUCUAAGCGCCGACCCUUCGGGGGAAGCGUGCUUUUAUUAGGAACAAGGCCAGCCCGGUGUCUCGCUUCGGCGUGCCCGGUCUCCGCUGGUGAACUCUAGAUAACCCAGCCGAUCGCACGGUCUCGCACCGGCGACGCUCCCUUCAAAUGUCUGCUCUAUCAACUGUCGAUGGUACGUUAUGCGCUUAUCAUGGUAGUGACGGGUAACGGAGAAUCAGGGUUCGAUUCCGGAGAGGGAGCCUGAGAAACGGCUACCACAUCCAAGGAAGGCAGCAGGCACGCAAAUUACCCACUCCUGACACGGGGAGGUAGUGACAAAAAAUAACGAUACAGGCCUCUUCGGAGGCCCUGUGAUCGGAAUGAGUACACUUUAAAUCCUUUAACGAGGAUCUACUGGAGGGCAAGUCUGGUGCCAGCAGCCGCGGUAAUUCCAGCUCCAGCAGCGUAUAUUAAAUUUGCUGCAGUUAAAAAGCUCGUAGUCGGAUGUCUGGUCGGGGCGGGUGGUCCGCCGCGAGGCGAGCACUGCCCGUUCCCGUGUGCCGUCCCUCUGUUCGGCGUCCUCGUCGGCGGAGCGGGCGGGCGGGAGUUUGAUCCCGGCCAGUCCUCCGGUUGGUCGUGCGGUGCUCUUAACUGAGUGCCGUGCGAGACUGGAACGUUUACUUUGAGAAAAUUGGAGUGUUCAAAGCAGGCCCAAGUGCCCGAACAGCUCAGCAUGGAAUAGUGGAACAGGACCUCGGUUCUAUUUCGUUGGUCUUUAGAUCCAGAGGUAAUGAUCAAGAGGGACUGCCGGGGGCAUUCGUAUUGCGGCGUGAGAGGUGAAAUUCUUGGAUCGUCGCAAGACGCCCGACAGCGAAAGCAUUUGCCAAGAAUGUCUUCAUUGAUCAAGAACGAAAGUCGGAGGAUCGAAGGCGAUCAGAUACCGCCCUAGUUCCGACCAUAAACGAUACCAACUCGUAAUUCGCCGGCGUUCCUCCCAUGACGCGGCGGGCAACUCUCCGGAAAACCAAAGUCUUUGGUUCCGGGGAA
rnacentral:rRNA from 1 species